GGGGUUGUAGCUCAGUGGCAGAGUGCUUGCCUCCCAUGUGAGAGGCACUGGGUUCAAUCCUCAGCACCA
rnacentral:tRNA from 1 species